UGACCCACCCAAGAUCAAUCAC
rnacentral:piRNA from 1 species